rnacentral:lncRNA from 1 species
CCCUCAUUACUUGGCCUCCCAUAACUAGGCCUCCUCGGUGGCUCCUCCACCUCCGGACUCUCGUAGCUCGGCCUCCCAUACUGUGGCUUCCUGGGGGACCCUUCCCCACCAUAACCAUACCCGCCACCUUGUUCCUCUCCGAAGCUAGGUUUCCGACCGUACCCAGAUCCAUAUUCAGAACUCGGUGCUUCGUACUCAGGCCUCCGACCAUACCCAGAUCCAUACUCCGAACUGGGCUGCUCGAACUCGGGCCUCCGACCAUACCCAGAUCCAUACUCCGAACUAGGUUGCUCGUAUUCAGGCUUCCGACCGUACCCAGAUCCAUAUUCCGUGCUAGGCUGUUCGUAUUCAGGCUUCCGACCGUACCCAGAUCCAUAUUCCGAGCUAGGCUGUUCGUAUUCAGGCUUCCGACCGUACCCAGAUCCAUAUUCCGAGCUAGGCUGUUCGUAUUCAGGCUUCCGACCGUAGCCAGAUCCAUAUUCCGAGCUAGGCUGUUCGCAUUCAGGCUUCCGACCGUACCCGGAUCCGUACUCCGAACUGGGUUCCUCGUAAUCAGGCUUCCGCCCAUGCCCAGAUCCAUACUCACCCUCCCCACCAAAACUCGACGGCGGCUUCGGCUGAUACCCAUACUCACCACCAUCACCACUGCCUCCGAACCCUCCUUGGCCAGGAGGUGGUCCGGCGUAACCAAGGACCGGACGAGGCUUGGGACGAGCAUAGCUCUUGUAUUCAUUCUCAAGAGCUUCAUCACCGUAAGCCGAUGGUUCAGAGCAUGAUGUGUAGCUUGGGCGAUCGUAGUCUAUAUCACCGGACUUCGAGGAGAUCGGAUAGCAAGUCUCCUCCGACGGCUCCAAAGGGCGGCCAUAGAUGACCGUGAUGUCGUAGCCUCCACCAUACGGGGUCGGAUCGUACUCAUCGAACUCGUCGCUAACAUCUUCGUUACGAUUGUACGUCAUUGCUUCGUCUCCCUCCCUGAUCUGAUCUCAGAUUGAGAAUGAAGAAGAUAUCUAAAUCUCAGGUAUUUAUAGACGUCGUUUUUGCACAUUUUCUCGUUUACAUUUUGUUUUGCAUCGUGUACGAAAAUGCCCUUGGGUGAUGAGGCCCAGUAAGUGUGACUCUGUCAGCUAUGAGUAAUCAAUGAAAUAUUGGUUUGUAAUUCGAUUUUAUGGAUAUAUUAAAAAUAUUGGAGAAAUAUCGAUGAAUAUUUUUUCAGAAAUAUCGGUGGAUAUUUUUUCACAAAUAUCGAUAGAGUGAAAAUUAUUUAAAAUUAAUAAAAACGCUUAAAAAACUUCAAAUCCCUAGUUAACAGUAAUAAAGAAGAUGAUUUGAUGGAUGGGGCUUCAGGCCCAAACCAAUCCUCUAGGGUCACUGUCAAGUGGGCCACCAGCCAUGUAUUGGGCCGCUUGAACGGCCUCUCUAGUCAAUGACACUAGGGAGGGAGUGACGCGUGUUAUACGAGUGCCGAAUGUCGGCAAAUUAAAUAAUUAGGGCAACAAUAUUUGAGAUAAGAGCAAUAUGUGCAAUAUAUGGUGAUUAUCCACAUCAAAUCAAAAAGAAUUUCUAAAUUUACAAAAUUAUAAUCUUUUAGAAUUUAGUUAAUUUACAAAAUUGAUAAUGUGAGGGCAACAAUACAACCAUCGAACCUAACCCAAUUUUAUGAUUUUGUAAAUCAAAUCAAACCUAAUGAAUGUAUUCACUAAUUGAGUCCAAUCUACUCAACUUAGAUUAUAGAAUUAUUUAUAAGAUUCAAAAUCACGACAGCACAUGAUAAACGGGUGGGGUUGCUCACCCCGAAUCUUUCGCCUUCUGCAAACUCCGCCGCUUCGACAAAGAAUAAUGAGAAGAAUCAGAAUUCAGAAUCGUUUCCGAAUUUACAUCCCACCUCCGUUUCGCAUAGCUCCCAUAAACCCAAGAGAGAGAAAAACCCUAUACGCAGAAAAGGGGGAUGGCGGCCAGAGUGAUCCGCGUGGCGCAGGACGGCACUGGAGAUUACCGGACUGUGCAGGAAGCCAUAGACGUUGUGCCUCUCUGCAACAAAUGCCGGAUUGUGAUUCGCGUGUCGCCGGGUGUGUACAAGCAGCCAGUCUACGUUCCCAAGACGAAGAACCUCAUUACACUUGCUGGGUUGCGCCCUGAGGACACUGUACUCACCUGGAACAACACCGCCACCAAAAUCGAUCAUCACCAGGUACACACCCAUUUCGUCGUCUACCGGCUGGGUUGUAAAUUUGGGUGGCGGUUUGAAUUUGGGGCUUUUUUUAUUUUUCAGGCGGCUCGGGUGAUUGGGACUGGAACUUUUGGGUGUGGGACUGCUAUCGUUGAAGGGGAGGAUUUUAUUGCCGAGAAUAUCACUUUUGAGAACUCUUCUCCUGAGGUGAAGUUUCUGAAACUCCCAGUUUUAUUUUCAAUCUUAGCUUGCUCCAAUUGGCGAAAUGUGUACUCAUUGGUUAGUAAUGAAAUAUGGGUUUUUUUGUUUUUUGUUUUUGUUUUCUUUCCAGAUUGUAAUUUAGGUUUUGGGUGUUUUUUUGUUUGUUUAUGAGAAUUGGAGUUUAGUUUUUUGGGGCAUUGGAUAUAUUGAAGUUCUGAGGGUCUGGAUCUACUCCAAAGUGCUGUUUCUUUUUGUUCUUUUAUGGGUAUUGUAAUUUGGACUUUUGGGAUGUGGAUAUGUUGGAGUUUUAGGAUGGUGCUUCUUCUAUGAAUUUCUUCAAGUUGUUAUAAGACAAUUUUUUCUUCCUUUUGUCAUAGGGUUCAGGACAAGCUGUGGCAAUUAGAGUAACGGCUGAUCGUUGUGCCUUCUACAAUUGCAGGUUUCUUGGGUGGCAGGUAUAGUCAUAAUGGGGAUCAAUAGCUUUCCUGAAAACUUCGCUAAAAUGUUACAUUGCUAUGAAAUUCGUAACUCUGAAAUGAUUCAUGUUAUGCUAUACAAUUAAGCAAUUAAGAUAUUAACCUAUGGUAUAAGGAGUACAAAUUUUUCCUAGAAAUGCCCUCAAAUCCUGCAUUUUUUUUUUUUUUUUUUUUUUUUUUUUGAGGAACAUGUGGAGAUGACUUGUUUUCCUUUUGAAGCCAUAAUGUCUCCCUGGCAAAGAUAUAUCUUACGUUCAUAAAUAAUAAAGGAUGAGCAUUUAUUUUUCAACUAAUCAGCAUGUUAAGAUUGGUUAAAUUUUUUUUUCUAUAUCAGAAACAACAAAUGUAUUAAGAUCGAUUAAAAUCGGGCAUACAUGAUUUUUCAUUUUAUGAUACUAAAUAUGAUAGUAUAUGCAUGCAAGAUGUAUUGAAGCUACAAAAUGAAUCCUUUUCUUUGCAAACUUAUAUGGAUGAAGAAAAUCUAGCAUCUGGAGGUAUUCCUUUGUGCAAGUUUUAGAUUGUUUUUUUGCUUUUCCUUGGCUCAGUCAAUUAAUUUUUCACAUGGAAUUAAUUAACCACAUUGAUUGGUGAACCCUAAGCUUAUAUAUAUAUAUGGUUUGAUCAGUUGGUUGCUGAUGUCUCCUUCAUUCUCAGGACAAUUCAGAACAAACUAUCUUGGACAUGAUGUUGCAUAUCUAGCUUCAUGAGUCUAUCCUUAAAUGUUUAUGCAGGAUACUUUGUAUUUGCAUUACGGAAAACAAUAUCUGAAAGAUUGCUAUAUUGAAGGAAGUGUGGAUUUCAUCUUUGGGAAUAGCACUGCUCUGUUGGAGCAUUGUCAUAUUCACUGCAAGUCAGCGGGAUUCAUAACAGCACAAAGUAGGAAAUCUUCUCAGGAAUCAACUGGCUAUGUAUUCCUCAGGUGUGUAAUAACCAGUUUCCAAUUUCAAAUUCUAAAGUAUGGCCUAUUAAAGAACUUCAAAUUCUAAAGUAUGGUUGUAAAAAUAAGGGCUUGAUACUGUUUGUUACUUGCAAGAGCAUUUUAAUCUGAAAUUUUUUUCUUUUGGAAAAUUUUAACAAUUUAGUGUCAUACAAGAUAUAUUCCAUUUAAUAUUCAUAAUCUUGAUUGACAAUCUCAUCAACUAGCACAAUUUUGGGAAAAACAUGUGCUUUUUUAAGACAUAGAAGUUUGGUAUAUGCUUUUACCACAUGUGUUAUGUUUAAAAACUCAUUGCUUACAUAGCUAGUCUCAAGCCAGGACAAAGGGAGUCCUAUCUCAUUAGAUUGAAAACCACAAUAAGCUUGUAACACCUUUAGUUAAAUGACUGUAAACAUUUGGUAAGAAAUCUAUGAUCGUAUGCUGAUGUGAAGCAAAAUACAAGUAGAGAGAGUAGAAUUGGGAAAUAAGAUUUGUGCGCUUAUUUCCCAACCCCCAUCUUGCAAUUCUGUUUCUAAGUGAAAUGGAAUGGAUAAUUAUACAUCACUCUCAAAAGGUUGUCUAAUUAGGAAUAUGUCUGACUCAAAGAAGAAUCUAUGUCUAGGUUCUGUACUUCUUGCCUUUGUUUCUCCUUAGUUAUAAUUGCCUAACCAACCAGUCCUUGUAUAUUUUCUUCUUUUUGAAAUUUGUGGUGUUGAUGCAGAUGUGUGAUCACUGGCAAUGGUGGGGCUUCGUAUACACAUCUUGGACGACCGUGGGGACCCUUUGGAAGGGUGGUCUUUUUAUACACAUGGAUGGAUGCUUGCAUCAAACAUGUAGGUUGGCAUAACUGGGGCAAAGCCGAGAAUGAGAGAAGUGCUUGCUUUUACGAGUACAGGUACUUCAUAUUCAAUCCUUUCUCUGUAUAGCUUUGAAACUUUAGGGGCUGUUUCAGAUACCAGAAACCCAGUAAGCUGAAGAUCUGAUGAUUGGUUUUGAUUUACUCUGUUUGAUAAGAAUGUUUGGUUUGGGCUGUAUUCCAUUCAUCUAUAUUCAAUAUCCAAUGUCUGUUGUUUUCAACUUGAACUUUGUCACUUCUCACUUCAUCUAUUCAAGAAAUUCUGGCCUGCUCUUAGUGCAGCCACUGUGACAGACUGUAAUAGUAUCGUUGAAUACUCUCUAACCUAAGAAAAUACUUGGAUAGUACCAUUAGUACUAUUGAAAUUCUCAUUUAAUUGUAAGGUUCAACUCUGUUGGAUUUGAGUUUUCAACAUUUUUUUUACAUGAAUUUUUCCUUUUUUCUUUAUUUUUUUAGAAAGCGUUUUACAUUUGAGUUUGAAAACCUUUCUCAUCUACUUGCUUGUUAAAUGGAAGGGGAAAGAAACUGAAUAGCAUGUAUACUUAGAUUACUGCCUUGUUGAAAGUGAGCUUUGUGAACUCCCCUUCCUCCCAUGAGACUCUACUAAUACCACAUCUUUUGUUGCUUUAAUCAACACUGCAGGUGUUUUGGACCAGGCAGUUGCCCAUCAAAACGUGUAACAUGGGCUAGAGAACUGGUAGAUGAAGAAGCAGAACAGUUCCUCAUGCAUUCUUUUAUUGACCCGGAUGUGGAGAGGCCUUGGCUGGCCCAGAGAAUGGCUCUGAGGAUACCAUAUUCCGCAUAGAAAUUAUAUUGCUGGAAAUAUGCAGUAGGUUCCCAUCUGAAAAUUGGAAAAAAAAAUGAAAAAGAAAGAAAAAGAAAAAAAAAAGGUUUUCAGAUCUUAUAUGUACGAUGGGUUCAGCCUUUAUUUGACUUCCCUGCAGAUGAUUUGUGAUUGUAUUAUUUAUGCUAUAGAGUUGUAUCCUCAACUAGGUUCUGAGGAAAUCAAAUGGUUGUUUCUGGGCACACAAUUAAACUGUUUAGCUCAGUAGUAUUGAGACCCUUGUAUAAUGGUCAAUGUGCCAAUAAGAAUUUUAUGAUAUUGAACAAAUGAGCUGGAUAUGGAAUGCGAAAAAUUACCAAUAGCUAGUUUUGAGAAAUGCUUUGUUAUAAAAUUGUAACAGUACAGGAAUGAGGUAAAUGGCAGUUUAGAGAUUAAUCAGGUGGAGUCCACCAAACCAAAAUCAGGACUCUCACAGAUUGGCUUUCACAUGGAAUUCAGAGGACUGGAUAGAAGCUCCUUGCAUCUCACGCCGCCCUGAUUUUUCCAGUGAAUUAUCACCACAUGCGUCUUGACUCUUGAGCAGUAUCAUUUACCAAAUUUUAUUUGCCAACUCACCAGUUUGGAGUGGACAAGCCCAGAAAAGCAAACAGAAAUAUUAGGGUUCUGUCCAUAAAAUUUGAUAUAUUUUUUGGCAUGUGAUGACUGAUGGGUGGACCACUCACCCAUCAACCAGAACCACCAAAUAUCUUUCCUUUCCUAAAGCAGCUACAGGUGGUCACACCACCCGACAUAAUGCCAGCACUUCCAAGGCUCCAACCACUGUUUGCCACAUGCACAGGAUAAAAGCCAUGUCACAUAUGCUUAUCUUUCAUAUACCCAUUUUCACAAUGUGCAUUCUAUGAUAUAGCACUUUUUGCAGCUAACCCCAAAACCCAGAAAGAAGAGAAACAAAACCAGAAAGGAAAAGGUAUUGAAGGUUCAUACAUGAGUGAGGUUGCAGCUGGUAGUGCCUUCAUUCCUCGCCACCACCACCACUUUCCCCUGGGCAUAGGAAAAUGGAAGGAUCAGCUUGUCAAGCCCAACAGGCAGUGGCAUGUGGUGACUCAACCAAAGUGGCAGCCAGUGAUCAAGAACCAGAUGGUUAAGCCUUCUACCUACACUUCCAGAAUCUCCACUGAUCUCCCUCUCUAUGAGUCUCCUGGGGUAAGUGACCAUCUCUCUCUCUCAAGUCAAUUGGGUGUUUCCUUUUUCUUUUUUCUUUUUUUUUUUCCUCUAUUUCCUUUGACACCAAGCUACUGAUGUAAGGAAUUUUGAACUCCGGCACAUACAUUUUCCAUUAUUGGUAAAUUGGGAUGAAAUUGAAUUUUUUUUCUUUUUUCAGGCUUUGUUUGAUGAAUAUCUGGAGGACCAGCCCAGAGUGUUCAAAGCAAUAUUUCCAGACAAAAGAAGAAGCCAACGAAUUAAUGAGGUUUGCACAUUGGUUUAUUAAUUUCCCCUCUUCUUAAUUGUUGUGCCAGCAAAUGAAAUUAGAGAGUAAAAAUGAAUCGUUAGUUCAUUUUUAUGAUUAACUUCUUUGAUAUUAAGGCAGAUCAUGUAAGUCCCUCAGAUUUUAGCUUUUACUUAGAAGAGGAUGGGCACUAGAACAAUAUUUUGUCUUCAUUUCAAAGCAAAAAGCUGAUUAAUCUCUCCUUUUCCUUAACAUUUCUGUUAUACUACAUUAUCAAGGAUGGGGAAGGAGCUUGUAAAGAAUUUUUCAAAGUUUAGUGGGAGUCUUGUUUAUUAGAUAGCUAUUCUGGUGGUGAUUAAAGCCUUAAAAGAUAUGAGGGAACUCACCAAGCCUACUGUCUUUAAAUAUAUUUGGGUAUUUUAUAAAACCAUAUGAACUUAUAUGGGUUUCGGAUUAUUUCUUAAUAAUUAAGUCAUGGUCAUACCAUAACUGAAGACUAUUCCAACAUCUCCAUCUUAGCUCUUCUCUUGGGCUGGUGAUUUAUAGACUCAGCUGUGCCCUGUAACCCCUUUGUAUCUACUCAAUUACGUUUUAUCAAAUUCCUUGUACUUGUAGCUCAAACACAAAACACCACAGAAGGGAAUUCAUCUUAUUUCCUGUGCCAUUAUUUUCAUUAUUUCAUCACUCAUAAGUUAAGACAUUUUCUUGAACAGUUAGUUGUUUUAAGUCUCUUGUAUCCCUCCUAACAAGGGCACUCGAUUUGUUUGUGCAAAGAUUUCAGACAGUUCGAGUUUUGGUUAGACAGGUAUUAAUUGCCAGUCAUUCCUAUUAGAAUGUGAAAAUGAUGUUCUAUCAGUUACUUCUAAAACCCCUUUGUUUUACGAUUCCAGGCCUUUUAAGAAGUUUUUGUCAAAGAAGAACAUCCAGCCUAAGAUCUAAGGAAGUGUAUUUAACCCUUCUUUGUAGUGCUACUAGGAAUAGAAUCCAUAAAUGCAAAAGAAACAAAGGAAGAGAUCAAAACAAACUGCUUAAUAGAUCUGUAAACCUGGCUCCUUUAUUUCCUAGAGUGAAAAUCUUGCAGCUACUGAUGUUGGUGAAAUAAGAUGAAAAUUUUUGGUGGUUUGGCAGCUACUGAUGUUUGGAUUAACUCAUUUAUGCAGGAAGAAUGGAGGAUUCAAAUGUUGCCCAUACAGUUCCUUUUCCUUACUGUGUGGCCGGUAAUAGACAUGAGAUUGAGAUGCAAAUCAAGAGGGAAAGAUUACCCACCUGACGUUCCUCACAACAUCACAAAGGUUCUUGAGCUCAACAUUGUGAGUCUACACAAGAAAUUACCCAGAUAUUAAGUAGUACUCUCAUGAGUUCAUAUGUAACCAGUAUCAAACCUGUUAUUUUGCAGAUUAGAUGGGAGCUCCAAGGGCUUGAUGAUCUUCUCAAACCAUCUCAUUUUAGCCUAGGUGUAAAAGGAGCCUUGUAUCCAGAGAGACAGGCAAUGCAGAGCCGGCUUAAAGGUCAGCUAGAGAUGAGCAUAAGCUUUGUCCUUCCUCCUGUGCUUGCUCUGGUCCCUGAAGAUGGUCUCCGAAGUGUUGCAGAGUCGGUUAGACCUCUAAAGCCACUGCACAAUCAUUAUUUUCCUUGAUUCUAUAGAAAUGUGCUACAAGAUUCAGGAAGGAAAAGAACAUAUGAACUAAAAUGUUGGUCCUAACUACCCUGUCAACAAAUAAUUCUUAACAGGUGCUAAAAAGAUUGCUGGAGAACAUGAAGCAUAAAGUUAAUGGAAGCCUGCUUGCAGACUAUAACGAGUUCAGGAAGCAGAAACUGAAGAAUCUAGUUUGAGCUUAUUGCUUGAUCUCCCUAUAAAUUCAUAUCAGGCAAUAAAUUUGGAAAGCUGGAGUUCUUGCAUUUUCCAUCAACCCAGAUGAAGCUGACCAAAACUACAGAAGCAGGACAAAUUGCAGACAUGAUACAAAGGAUCCUGAAGAAUCUGCCACCUUGUAGAGAGAUUUCCUUUCUUUUAGCACUCGUUGAGUUGAACAUAUUCUUUUGAAGGUAGUUAUUCUUGAGAAAAGUGUGGUAUCAGAGAGCAUUUCUGGGGUAUCCCACUUCCAUAUGUAGAAUUUGAAUACCUGAAAUCAAUGGGAAGAAUAUCUUAAUUUCAAGUUUGAGUAUUUUAGAACAGACCAAGCAAAAUGACAAUGUUGUUCAGGCUCUGCUUUGAUCAGGGUAAGCACAAUGCAAGGGAAAAAAAUCAAUUAAUUGUUUUCCUCUCAAAAGGGAAAAAGAAUGGAGAUGCGGGGGAUCGAACCCCGUGCCUCUCGCAUGCAAAGCGAGCGCUCUACCAUUUGAGCUACAUCCCCAUUGCUGACGAUAUCCCAAUGCUAAUUAUUCAUUACCUUUUAACCUCACACGAUCAUUCAAUCAAUUUGCAUAUGCACAUGGAAAAAGAAACACAAAAUAGCCGGAGGAGGAUGCCAUUUACAUGGGCAGAUGAGCUAUGCAUGUCAAGCCAAACUUUGUUCUCCACUAGUAGAAAAUCAAAUGGUACAAGAUUGAAAGAUCUUGUCUUAAUGUGGUCCUAUUGCGAUCUCUUCAAAGUUAUAAACUUCAUAAAAUUUAUAAUUAUUUUAAUGGAUAUAUCAAUAAUGAAUAACUAUUGAUCAAUAUAUUCACAAAAAUAAUCAAUUGCAUAUGUGACACAAGAUUUGAUGUGGAAAAACCACAUAACAAUCUCUAGGUAUAAAAAACCACGGAUGAUCCACUAAAUUUGAAAAAAAAAAAUAUACAUUAUUUUACUUAUUUAGAUACGCUACUCUUUGAGGUCUUAUACUAUCAACAUUUAUACUCUUCUUUAACAUCCCGAUACAACACUCUCUCAUGCCCCUUAGUGGACCAACUCAAAGACCUUGUUAAGGCUUUAGCAACUCAAAUCCUUAACCUUUGGAUUGUCAAAAAAUUUCUUUCAAGAAUGGUCUUGAAAGAUUUAAAGAUGGAGUUCUUAGGGCUGUAGGGACGACUAAUUUCUUGUGAAUCAUAUUCAAUAUAAUAAAACUCAGUAUUAUACUAAAAACGUAGGGCAUGGAUUUGGAAAACAAUUGUAAUGUUAAUUAUACAAAAACGUCCCUGAAAACAUGAGCAACAAAAUAAAAAAAAUGAUUCAAGCGCUCAAAGGGGACAUUCAAAUGUUUUGUGUUUCAAACUUUGUUUUUUAUGUUUUUCUCCAACAUGAACAUAAGUAUUCUUUUAUAAUCAUUUCCCAACCUCUAAUCGGUAAGACCCUUCAGUACAAAAUGGAAAAUAAAUUACUAACCUAAAACAUACAUUAACAAAGGUAAAAGACAGUGCAUUUAAGGUUAUAACUUCCUUCAGUGCCUAUUGGCAGUAUACAGUUAUGGUCACCAAUAACCAAACUAUGAACAAGAGGGUAUAUAAAACCACCCUUUAGGAUGCAGAUCAUUAAAGGAAAUGGUACAGACAAAGGCCAUGGAACAUGAAUGAAAUAAGCUGACAAAUAAGAUGCACAGUUUUUGGAAAUGAUGUGUAAACCAUCAGUUACAUACCCAAAUGAAAAACAAAGAAGAAACAUAAAUUAAGGAGUGCAAGAACCUAAUUUCCAUGGGACAUCAAAAUCCAGCUCAAUUUCCUGAACCAUAAAUUACAACUUUUCAAGAAAAAAGAAAUCAAAUGAAUUUAGUAAUUAUGCAGUGCAAAUUAUCAGCAUGAUGCAGUUGGGAUCACCAAUAAUCACAACAAGAACAUGAACCUUCCUUGAAACAAUGAAAACGAUUGCGAUCUCUGAUGACAAUUUCUCGGUUGUAUAUCUUAGAAACAAUCUUGAUAGCAGAAUGACAAUCUUGGCAUAUUCGUAGAUUCUUGAAAAUAUGAAGGGGCACACCAGGCCCUGUGCUUAUAAGCCCAAAACAAAUUGCCAGCUUCUCACUGUGAGAGAACAAUGCCUGCUCUUUCUCCUCCUGCUCAACUAAAUCAUCCUCCAAGCUAUCACAACCAGCAAAAGUUUGUAAGGCGGUGUUAGGUGCAUAACCAGCCAACCUUAACCUUGGAAUCAUCUCAUCCAACAUAUUGUAAACCUCUCGUGUUCGUGGGUGUGAUUUAUCCCCCGCACUGAACUGAUGAACUUGGCCACCAACAUGGAUGGAACUCAUGCCAGGCACCUUUUUAAUACCCCUCUUCUUAAGAACCUGGCGAAGAGAAUUAGCCCUGUUCUGCUUUCCAGCCAAAGCAUACAUAUUGGAAAGUAGAAUAUGAUACUCAGUGUUUUGGGGAUCCAACUGAACCAGCUCUUGCAAAAGGUGUUCCCCCAACUGGAGCUUCCCAUGGAUGCUGCAGGAACCCAAAAGUGAUCCCAGAACAACCUCAUUGGGACGAAUUGGCAUCUCCCUCACUAAAAUCUCUGCUUCUUCUAAACGACCAGCCCGACCUAAAAGAUCAACCAUACAAGCAUAGUGUUCUACCUUAGGGGUGAUGCCAUACACAGAUUCAAGGUUACCAAAGUAAAAGCAACCUUGAUCAACCAAACCUGAAUGACUACAUGCACUUAACACAGACGUAAAGGUGACAUCAUCUGGCUUAGCUUCUUUAAACAUCUGAGGAAAUAUAUCCAGUGCAGCUCUACCUAAUCCAUGCAUUGCCAGACCACUAAGCAUAGCAUUCCAAGACACCACAUUCCUUUGAGGCAUUUUCUUAAAAAAUUUAAAUGCAAUAUGUAUUCUACCACAUUUGGCAUACAUAUCAACCAUUGCUGUGCCCACCAUGAUAUUCAGCUCCUUCUCCUUUGUCUUCAAAGCAUAGGCAUGUACCCACCUGCCCAUCAUCAAAUCCCCUGACUGAGAACAAGCGGUUAGAAUUGAACAUAAGGUAACAUAAUUCAACUCCAUUUCCAAAUCAAAUAUCAUUUCUCGGACAAGGGCAAAACUUUCCUGGGUCAAUCCACUAUCCAAAUACCCUGCAAUCAUUAUCGUCCAAGCAACCUCAUUCCUCUCAGGCAUCUCGUCAAACACCACUCUCCCAUUCCUUACACCCUCUGAUCUAAUUACACCAUCAAGAAUCACAGUCCAUGACACAACACUCUGUCCCUUCAUUUCAUAAAAAACCCGUCUAGCCUCACCCAUUAGCCCAGACUUCGCAUACAUAUCCAUAACUGCAUUACACGCUUUCUCAACACCACCCAAACCCAUUUUCACCAUACACCCAUGUCCCUGCGCACCAACCACCACAUCUCCCAACCGAGCACAACCCCCAAAUAGGCAAACCAACGUCACCUCAUCAGGCUUCACUCCACAUCUUCGCAUUUCAACGAAAAUAAGAAGAGCCUCAUCAGACACAUUGUGGCGUACAAAGCAGCCCAUAAGGGUGGUCCAGUCCACAGUGUCUUUGUGCGAGUGGGGAAUUUCAUCGAACACCUUGCGUGCCUGCCAUGCGCAGCCGCAGGAAGCGUAGAAUUGGAGAAGGGCAUUGUGGAGGAAGGUCUCCGGUGCUCCGGCGAUGCCGGUGGUGAUGAUGGUGGCGUGGAGCCUUUCGCCGAUGUCGAGAGAGGACUCUCUAGCGCAUGAGCGUAGAAGGAACCGAUAGUGGCGAGAGACUGAAGACAAGGCCGUGUGGCGAGACCAUAUCAUAUAUUGUAUAUCCGUAGAGGGAAAAUUUGAAUCAGCCUUGAAUAUAAACCUGCGAGAUAAACAAAACGACGUCGGUUAAGGUCUUUUGGUAAAACUUGUCUAUACCAACUUAUUUAAAUUUUUUAAUUAUAUUCAAAUAAAUAUAAUUUAAAAAUAAAUAAAUUAAGUUUACAACAAUUUUAUUUUGUCUUUUUUUUUUAAAAUGCCUUCACUUCCAUUACUAAGCUUAAAAAGGGAAAAAAAAUUAUAUUAAUCUUAAUUUUACUUUUAUUUUAUAUAGAUCAAUGUGGGACAAAACGAUGUAAAACUUAAAUUCACCUUAAACUGAACCUAGGUCUUAAAUUGAAAUUUCAAACCCCCUAUCGUCUCAAUGAAACUUUCACCUCACUUAUUUUAUUAGGGAUGAGGGGAGGGAAGUCUUAAAAAUAUUUUUUUUUACUACCAUCUAUAAUAUUAAUAGAAUCAGUCAUUUAUGAUUGAAGUUGAAACAUCGUAAAGAGUUUUUCUCAAAUGUUUCCACACUACAUGUUGUGAUAAAUGCAUUAUUAAACUAUAAAUCGUAAUAAAUACAUAAUUAAAUUAUAAAUAGUUCAUGAAUAAUUUCUUAAUAAUCCAAACAAAAAAAUAAUAAAUCAUAUGUACAAGAGAUUUUAAAUAAACGAUAACAUAGGAUGAUCAACUCAUCUUAAAAGAGUUGCAAGUAUCCAAAGAAUAUCUUGUCAAAGCAAUGCUCAAAGAAGGCCUUGAUUUAGCCUAACAUAAGGUAAUGGAUAGAGGAGCAAUAUUCCAAUCAUUGGUCACGAAGGGAAGCUUGGGGAUUAAUUUGAUACAGUGCCUAUGACCUAUGUUGGCUAGGGUUGAAGUAUGGACUUCCUUUUAGUCAAACAUUAAUGACACCGAAUAUAACCUCCUUCUUAAGUCUCUUUUAAGGCUAAGAGGAACUUGCGCUAGUGGAUACUCUCUUUCUAAGGGUUGGAGCCUCCAACAAGUUUAGGAUAAGAGAAUUCAUGCCUUUAAUAAAAGUUUCUUUAUGGAAUCAGGUCCCAAAAUCCUAAAAGUGAUAAGAAAGGGGUAGCACAAUAGAGAACAUCCUAUUAUUAGCUGAAGAGGCCCCAUGAGUGUCCUUAACUAGAACAUGUUCCUAAGAUUAUGAAGCUGUGUUCAUCAUUUCAUACAAAAGUGACUCUAAUACUAAAAAGUAGCAUGAAGCCUCAAAAUUGACCACCCUAAGCACCCUCCAACAUCGGUCUCAUUAUAGGUAUGUGACUUGAGAAACCUUUGGCUCUCAAUUAAAAGGAACAUAGUUAAUAGAUGAGUAGCAAUGUCAAAACAUAAAUAUAAUUAAAAGAAAAGGAAGGGUCAUCAUAACAUCUCCACCUUUUACAAAAGGUAUUGAGGGUACAUUCCAUGGCAUGUUGACACCUCUCAUUCUUUGCUAAGUAGUAAGAAACUUUGGUCCUCCUAUUUUUUUCCAAGAAUUUGAAAUUUUGGAAACCAAUUUUGAGACUUGUUGUUAGGAAAUAUAUACAAGUAUCAUUGCUAACACUUGGUAUAAAUUCAAUAACUCUCUCACCCUAAUCUUAUAAUUUAGGGUAGAUUCAUGAUUGUUAUGGCCAUUAAAAUGUCAAUGGUAUUAGGAUUGAAAUGUCGUAAUGUCACCUUGACAAAAGAAAAGAAAUUCAAACUAAUAAUGGAAGAAGGAAAUGAAGCUUGGCUUUUAAACACUCUAUUGGAACUAUACAUUCCCUUGGUCUAAAGGGGCGAAGCUCCUCUUUGUGAAGAAGGAAUUUUAAAAUGCUCAAUCGAAACUUUAAGCCAAUCAUUAUACAUUUCACAAAAGAAAAACAAAGAGAAAGAAAAUCAAGUAAAAGAGUUUUCUAUAAGGCAUGGGUAACGAUUGACCUUCUCACGACACUUUGAGAAAUGAUUGAACUGUCUUCUUUGAAAAAAUGUGUCACAUAACUUUUGGUUUUUCCUCUUAUUUAUUAAAAUCCCUGGAAAAUAGAGAGAAUGAUGUAAGGACGAGUUAAUUGCUUAAUAAGUGUCAUCAUCCAAACAAAACUAAUGGCAGUAUAAUAAUGUGGGACAUUCAAAGGCCACAUAUCCAUAGUUAGGCUUACCAUCAUCAUAGUUCAUUAAUUAUGAAUUAAUCUUCUUCAUUUUUUAAAUAAUGAGACACCUCCCAUAAUACUUCCCAAUUACUCUCCCUCAAUAUAAAGCAAAUGACACACCACACUAUUCUAAAUUAAAGAUUCCUUAUUAAUAGUGAAACAACCAAAAUUAUUUUUUAUAAUAUAAAUGAAAUGGACGACCCAUUAACAAUGUUAUAAUUUGUUGGCAACAAAUACCUAAAAAGUGACAUAAUUCAAUCCCUAGAAAAUUAUAAAAAUAGGUGAAGUUGUUCAUUCAAAGGUAAGUAAACACACACUUCUAUCUAUUGAUUCUCUUAUUAAGAAUCAUGCUUAACUUGAUCAUCAGGAAAAGGUUAGCUUAACUGGCACACUCCUUGUUCUAAUCAUCUUAUUGCAAGUAUGUACAUAAGAUCAAGUAAGGAUAAUUUCAACUCAACAAAAGACAAAACAUAAGUUAUGCAUUAAAAUCUAAGACAACUUAAAAAUGAAUUUAAAUGCAAAAGUACAAUGUCAAUUAAUAUAUGAUUGGUUCCUAUUAAGUCUUUUUAAUAGACAAAUGAAGUCCUAAAUCCUAAACUUGCCCCUAAAAAAUAUCUAAAAGGUCAAUCUAGCUUUCCACAAAUUAAGUGUCAUAAACUUAGGCAUCUUUCAUGCACUCAUGCAAAAUUCAAGUAUGCUCUAGUGUUGCUGAGUCAACAUUUCUUGUAUACCCAUACUUACAAUGUCUAGGUGAUGUGAAGGCUAAAUAUAAAGAAGAACACCUAAGAAGUUUAAAAGAAUGCAAGUGUAUUGCAUUUAGGAAACUUUAUAACGCUUGUUUCUUACAAGUUUCGGGGCCUUGAGAUGGGUCUCACUAAUUUGUUCACACCCAAAGAAUGCUCUAGAAUGCUUGAAGUCAAAGACUAUUCAAAACCUUCUUACACUACCCACACCAUGCGCAAUAGUACAUGGUUAUAAGUAUUCUAGAUAUCUUUGGUCUUUUUAUUACUUUAGAAUUUCCAUAAUGUUGUAGAGAUUUCAACAAAACUCCUAAAAAAUUUAUACAUCUCUCUAAAGGGCUCCAUACUUUUCUUUUGGGAACUUCUAGAAUAUUCUAACAUUUUAUGGUAAGCUUCAUAAGAGGUGUUGAGUAGUUUUAGUUGCAAUUUCAUUAAUAGAAUUUAAAUUCCUUUAGAACCUUUUGCCCAUCUAUACAUACUUAUGUGUCAAAGGACAUAACAAACUUUUCUACUAAAGCUGACAACAUCAUUGUCAAACCUCAUUAUCAAUUCUUGAAAUUGCAUAAAUCCCGUAUUGAUUCCUCUAUGGUCUUGCUCUAUGGAAAUCCAUUUUUCUAUCUAGAUCACACAUGUUUUAUUUUCAUUUAAGGUUGCCAUUUUGUGUUGGAAAUUUUUGGACAUUGCUUCAGUAUUUUCCAUGGGGUAUAACACUGCCUAGUACUCAUCCAUUGGUGCCACAAUCAAGUUAACAUUACCAUACUAAGCCCUAAUUUGUAGCUUUAACCCAUAAGCUACUCCAUGAGCUCCACCUUUGAGUUGACAACCUUAAGCUACCUUAGCUCUUUGCUUAUCUUGAGUUCCAACCUCUUUGCCUUACCUAUAACAACAAAGUUGUGGAUUAGUCACAUGUCUACAAUGAAAACAUAGUGUCACAAACUUAGUUUUUUCCUAAGCUCAUGCGACACUUUGACAUGUUAAGACCCUUCACCUUACUAAGUCAGCCUUACUCUUGAUACUUCACUUGCUAGGUUAAGAUGCACAUGAGUUGGGAACUAGUAGGCACACGUAAGCAACACUUGAAGAAUAAGAAGCUUUAUUGCUCUCAAAUGAUGCUUUACAAGUGCUUUGGAACUCACUUGCUUGGUUAGGAAGUGAUUUGGGUGGUUUUGGGUGGUGUCUUGGCCAAAUGAGGUCCUCACCUAUUUAUAAGCACCAAUGGAACUCUCUAGAACCUACAAAGGUUCCCUACUAUCCUAGAAUUAUCAAGAAGACUCUAUAAAAAAGCUAUGUACAAGUAUUUACAAGACAUGUUUGGAAGUUUCUAGAACAUCCCAUAGGUUUCCCUUGUCUUCCACCCUUGAUGUAAAGAAGUUUGGUUGUCUCAAGCAUUUUCUAGAACCUUCCACUCUUCCCACUAAUGGCUAAGUGUAGGUAGUUUUAGGAGUCUCCAGAAGCUUCCUACCCUCUAUAUAAGCCAAUGGGAAUGGUCAUUUGAGUAGGUAGAGACAAUAGGCUUUCUAUUAGUGUGGACCUCCACAAACUCUAAUCUCUUACUUUAAGUUUUAGCAAACACCAUUUUUACCUUGAGAGAGCUAAGUAAUUAGAGUGAUCAGACAUGCACCUAAUCUUUCUUUCUUUCAUUUGUAUCAAAUAUUACUUUCAAGGAUUUCAUAAUUUGGUAGUCCUUUACUUAUGUGGAUUAUUGCACAAGAAAAUUUAAGCUUAGAUGUGAAUUUUUUCUUUCACUCUUUGCUCUUACCUAUUUGAUCAUAGGUUUUUAGUAAUGCCCUUCUAAGUAGUCUCAUUUCCUGUAAUUUGCUAAUGAGUCAACAACUACUCUAGCAUAUAGCAAUAUCCUUGAUGUCUUGAACUUCAACCCUUAAAUCCCUGGUCAACCUAAUAUUUGUGAUCGUCCAUGUAUUGAAUGAGGAGUUCCUCUUUUGUGAUGUAUAGGACCUCUAACAUAAGCAAUGAACCUCCUCAUGCAUUUACAUGCCCAAUAAGUAGCAUUUGGAGGUAAUACUCUCUCUUGAUUCCCUCUUAUUUGUACAUGUUUAUAUUAGGCAUGUAAAUAAACUAAGUCAAGUUGGGCCUAAGUGCUCUUAGUGUGGGUUUUCAACCAAAGCUAAGGGCAAGCAUGCUUUCGAAUCAGGCUUAAUCUUAGCUAGGAAUUUUAACUCUUAUCAUGAGCCCAACCCUUAUACUAACUAUUUAACAAAAAAACCCAUGGUUGUUAAUAAAAAUCAAGAGAAAGUUUUAUAUAGUGCUUAGAUAUUAGACAACAUUUUUGCUUAUUUGAAAGGGUUCAAAUACCUUGUAAAUCAUAUAUCUAUUGGUGGUUCAUAGUCUCUAGGUCUUUGUCUUAUUCUAAGCCUCCAUAUUACAAGUGUUCUUGGUCCAGUUAUGCAUUUAGUCUCAUCCAUUGUCUCUAUGGUGCAAAAGUCAUUGUAUUUCCCUUUGUCAACAUACUUGUGUCCCAUCAUCCAUAGUCACUACAAUGUACAAGCCUUUAUCUAAAGUUUCUCUUUAAUACCACUAUAAAGUUGCAAAUAUAUAAGCUUGCACUACCUAAAGUUAUAGAGUAUACAAGGUUGCCACCAUAAGCGCAAGCCUUCAUACAUAGUCUCAUUUUGAGGCCACCAUAGUUACCAUAAAGUUGCAUAGGUAAAGCAACCUAAAUUUGAAGAGUCUAUAAGUCUAUUACAAUAAGCACAAGUCUUCAACUAAAGUCUCUUUUGGAUGCCACUAUGAUUAUUAUAAAGUUGCAAAGGUGGAGCAUUAUUGUCUACACAUUUUCUUACUCAUUUGAGAGCUUCACUACCUCAAAGUUCCUUUCUAUAUGUUAUAGGUAGUUGUCACUUCAAGGUUCUGCUCUACCGUUGCAAAGUUCCUCCCCAUGUGCCAUAAGUGUUGGCACUUCAAAGUUCCUCUCCUUGUACCAUGGGUAGUAAUCUAGCUUCUUAGCGUCAUGGCUUGGGCACCUUCACCAUAAAUUCCCUUGGUCGCUUCUGCUAGUUAUUUCUAAAACCUUCCAUGCUUCUAUAAAUACUUGUAAGGCAUAUGACAAAGGUCUUUAGAUGUAUUUAAAUUUUACAAGAUAACACUAAAUUAACCAAAAAAGAAAAAGAAAAAAAAUCUAUUUCUAGAUUUUUUUUUCCUUCUCAUUUUUGACAUAUAGCUUUAUUCCCAACUCUUUAAUAUGAGUAGACCUUCAAAAUAAUUCUAAGUUACUAAUACAUUCAUAAGAUUUUUCAUAGUGUCCUAACUAUCUGAAAAGCCCAUUGUCACCUUAAUAGAACACCAUCAUAAUUUAAAAGUACAGGCAAACACCAAUAAAAUAUGAUAAGAAAAAAUUAUAAUAAGAGAAAAGAAUCAAAAGUCAAUUGUUGAGAAAGUGGGUAAAAUUUAUACGUAUAUUAGAUCAAUUGCAAGGUAUUAUAUAACAAGGAGAUACAUAUUCUAUAAAAAAAAUUAUUCUUGAAAACCCAUUUAUAAUAUUUUUAAUUUGAUUGUUGUAAAAUAAAAAACUAGUCGUCAAACAUUAAUAUCACUUACGAACUUGAAAAAAUCAAUUAAAAGUAUUUUGUGCAUGCAAAAAAUACAUCAAGAAAUCUUACUAAAUCAUCAAUAAACUUGAGUCCUUUAACUUAAGCAUCAAGGUUCGAUAUGAAUUUAAUGAUCAUAUUGACUCUUUUUUUUCAAGUAGAAAACAAUAUUUACAACUCGUUUUUAGGGUUUUCGACUUACACAUUAGAGAACUGGUAUCGAUCAUACUGCAAUGAUCUUGUGAUGUGAUUUUCUUUUUGUUUUUUGAAAAAAGACCACAUAGGUUAAAUAUAAAGCAUUUGAGUUAUAAAAACACUUCAUGAUCUUGAAUAAAUCAAUUAAAAAUAUUUUCUACGUAGAACAAACCUUACCAAAUCUCAAUAAAAAGCCCUACUCAAGCUCAUCUUAGAAAGAAAUAAGGAAAAAAAAAUCCAUUGAAGAAUAUUUUCCAAACUAAGUUAUACUGCCAUUUACACUAUCUAUGAGAACCAAGAACAUUCCGUACCUCUCUCAUUAAAAGGCAAAAUUGAAUGAGUGAAUAUGGAAACCAAAAUAUAUGAUUUAAAUUACUAAAAACAAUCUUAAAUAUUGAAAAAAAAAAUGAACUUCAGACACCUAUGAUCGCAUGUCUCAUGACGAGGCAUUCAAGUGUACAGAGUGCGUCUCUCCACGUAGCUGCCAAGCCCAUACAAAGGAAUCAAUUCAGCAACUCUGAUGAGCGUCUCAAGAUCGAAGCGGUGGAGACUCUAGGGUUUUGCCUCUGCCCCGUCGUUUCCACUGCUGCUCUGAGUCCUUCUGAAGGUGGUUCUUGUGUUUUGCUUGGUUCAGUGUUUGAGGCUGUAAAAUGAUGUUUUUUCCUGAAUUUUUUGGGUUUGCCUCAAUUUGUUUUUUCGUUUAAUGGGUGAUUCUUGGGUUAGGGUUGGAUCUCUCUGAAUUUAGAACUUCUGGGUAUGGAUCAUGCUUGUGUUCAUUGAUAGGCAAAUGAGAAUUAGUGUGCAUGUCGGUCUUUAGCUUCUGAUCGAAUAUGGUGAUGAUUUAUCUAAUGGGUAUACUUGUUUUUGUUCAUUACUGUUUGAUCUUUUAUGGGAGAUGGUUAAUUCUCAGAAUUGUUUGUAAUGUGUGUGUUUGUCUAUGUAUGUGUUGGAAAAUUAAGGCAUUUGUGUUAGUGAUUACUUGCUGGAGUUUUUUUGUAUAGUCAUGUUGUCAAGUCUAGCAAUCUCUUCCUGUGGUUGUGGAUCAUGAAUCUUCUAAUUCAUAGGAAAAUGAAAAUGGGUGACACCAUUCUUUCUUUAGCUUCUCACGACUGGGAUGAUGCUUUAUAUGUGAGUUUUUAGUCCAAAACUUGUUUGGUUAUUUUUUGGAACAUGGUAAAUUUUCAGAAUUUAUUCUCAUGGAUUCCCUUUUUUGCAAAAUCAUUAGUGAGUCUUGCUGGAGACUCUGGUUGGGUGAUCAUUAUGGCAAAUGUAGCAUUUAUUUCUCUCCUUCUUUGGGCACAAAUGAUAGAAGCAACAUAAUCCCACAACACCCUCUAUCCACUCCUAGUUGAUGGGCUUUGGUAGAUGGUCCCUUUGCAGCAAUUUAUGAUGUUAUAGGAAAUUGGAAAUGCAUUCGUUUGGAUUGGAAUUUGGUUUAUAUAUGAUGUACAUGUUGGAAUUUUUUGUUUGUGAAGCCUCUUAUAUGUAGACAGAGAUGCCCUGAGAAAUUGACAUGAUGUUGUGUUAAGUUGGAAGGAUUUGAUCUGUGUGGGCAUUUGUAGAGUGUAAGAAAACUCCUUUUGGCGUUUUCGGGAAUAGAUUAUGCUGAGAGGAUUGCAAUGUGGAACUCUAUAAAUAGGCGAUGUCUAUGGGAUUUUUCUUGCAUAGAAAGUUGAGCUUUUGCAAUGAAUUUCCAUGAGCCUGAUAUAUUAUGGCUGGUCUUUCUUUGCAUGCUGUUUUCUUACAUUUAUUUAAUAUAUAUAACCAAAGUGCCAAAGGGACAAAACCUUGUAUGCGGUUAAUAAUUUUGUGUUCUUGUACUUUAAUUCCUAUUUAAUUUUUGCCAACACAGUACAAUAAUAUAUUCAGAAAUUUUUGGAAAUAAAUCAAUCUAAUAAUUUAGUUGAUAUAGUGUUUGUGAGGGUGCUUUUCCUUGUUGCAUCUUGGGUUUCAGUCUUUCUGAACUAUUCAAAAGUCCUUUCUGAUGUUUGAUAUGUUUGUUUGACACUGGCUGUUUGCAUCUCACUCUCAGGCUUUUUCCUUCAUUAGGGUAUUUUUCGUUUACAUACACAACAGCUCUGUUUUUAUUUUUUUUCUUGUAACAAACUUCUCAUUGUUUAUUAAGAAGCACAGACACGUGUUUGUGGUAUUCCAUGAUAAGCAAAAUCUAUUUCCAAGCAUCUUGGAUGGUUAAAUUGUCUGUACGUAAUCUCUAUGAUUGGCGCUAUCUAAAGUGUAGAGUUCGUUACUUUACACUUUUGUUUUUAAAUUGCAGUUGAGAUUGGACAAUGAAGGACCGCAACUGCCAUUUCUGUUUUCAAAAUCACAGCAGUAGUAUCACAUGGAAACCAUGAACUAGAGUCAAUUGUUAAUGUGAUUUAUAACAUUCAAAAGCAUGUAUCUAUCUUAUCUGCAGUUCAUAUUAAUCAUGAAGCGGAGGCGCACUAGAAUCACUGAUCUGAAUGACGAUGUCCUCACGCACAUCAUGUGCUUUGUUGCUGAUUCACCCGAUGGAUCUGUGGAUAUUGCAAAAACUAUCUGUGUGUAAGACUCUAAACCUUAACCUUCUGCUUAAGCUAUCUGUGUGUAAGACAACCUUAACCCUAUCCUUAUAUUAAUUACAUAUAUGAUGGCUUUUCCUCCUAAAAUUUCACAUUGUGAAAUUGCUGAAGAGGAUGUAAAACUUGGAUUUGACUCACUAUAUGACUUAGAUGUAACCUAGUAUAGGAUAAUAUAUAUUUGUUUGCACCAGGAGUGUUCCUGGAUUUCUCUAGUUCUUCUUUCGCAGAAUAGCAAAA